CAAAAGGAACACAUCUAUAAGGCUGCAGGCUCGGGUGUUUAUGAUUAUGUGGAUCUAUAAGUCUGAUAUGUGAUGACAUUAAAUGCAUGAGAUGAAUCUGGUUUCAACUCACCAGCUCAACA